ensembl:lncRNA
GGGAGGUUGUGCCGCACAGCAGUGUUAAACGCACCUGUGGCUGAAGGCGGUGUUGGUAUUCAGCCCCGAUGCAGCGAGUUCGCCCUGAAACUUGCUGCAAUGGUGGAGGCUGGACAUGCAUGCUGUGUAUAUCGAAUUUUUGAGUUCUACUCAAAGCAGAUUUCCAAGAUGAGUGUUGGAAAUGCAUCCCGCCCGUGGGCAUGGUUGAAGUUACCAGUAUGUGAAGAGUACGCACAGCAGUCAGUGUUUGCAAACAGCAGACAAAGCAGAUUAAAUUGCACUGCGGAUAUCAUGAAAGAAAGUGGUGAGAAACUGUGUUCUUGCAACCACAACUUUGUCAUGCCAGUGCACUCUGAUGAUCCUAGUGCUGUGUGUUCCUGAAGUAUGGCUGGCCCUGUGGCAGAGGCAGUGUGUGAGACACCCGCACCCACAGCGUGGUGAUGUUACCCUCAAGUUCCUUUCUGCACGGGGGCUACAGCACGAGCACUUGGAAGGAAGGCAAAACUACAUCCUCACCUUGACAGGGAGAGAGCAGAAGACAGGGACUAUGAAGACAGGUUGGCAGAAGAGGCCAGGCUGGCAGGUGAGGCAGAUGCAGGACUAAGAGAGGAUGAGGAGUGGUGUUUUGUCACUUGAAUUAUCUGAUGACUUGUGCUCUUUGUUACCAGAGCUGGCUGUUGCAAGAAAAUGUCUUUCUGAUGAAAAUUUGACCCCUUUGUGAUCCUCAGAGGAUAGGCUUGUUCUGUGGCCAAGCAUCACUGACAAUGAAACAUAUGAGAUGCGUUCCUGGCAUUCAACUUCUAGAUGUAUUGAGCCCUUGAGGAACACAGCAUAUGUGCAAAUAGGUUGUUCUGUAUUGCACCCUAAGUGUUAGUGGAGGAAAGGUGUGGCUGGAAAGCAGGCUUCUGCUUCAAACCAAAAAUGCCAGUGUGGAUGUACCCCAAGUGUCUCCCAAAGAAUGGUAGAGGAAUGGUUUAAAAAUACUUAACUGUUGGAACUGGUGGAAGUAGUGUUGUCCAACUGGCGAAACCAUUACCUGGUGUGCAGUAAGUCAAUCUCACACACAGAGAUGAGAUACUGUUCUGUUGCAAAGUUGCACAAGUGUGGGUGCUAGGUGAUCUCCCACAAAGCUAACACACCCUGGGAUAUUUGUGACACUUUUUUAUACAUAUUCUUAUCACUUGGUCACUACCCUGAUGCAGCCUCUGGCUUACAAUUGGUCAGUUAAAGGUAGGGCUAAUCUCCCUUCUUGCCAGCUAUGUUAGUCAUGCCACGCAUGUUUUUUUAACUCCCAGCCUCCUCCUCUAAAUGUUCCUCUUCAAUUUGUGGUUUGAACUAUAGCUGCUGCCAGGAAACUUACCUGCAUUUUCUUUCUCUAUUGCUUAUCCUUUUGUUUUGUUUUGUUUUGUCUUUUCUUUUUCCUUUUCUACUUACUCCCUAUUGCUAUAUAACUUACAAGUGAUUUCAGCGAACUGUGAAAUAGACAUCCCUGAAAUCCUGUCAACCUUCUGCAACUUCUUUUGGAUAUCAGGGGCUGACUGUCCACUGAACAACAUAUUAAACACAGUUUUUUUUAUCUUCCCCUUCUGGCUCCAAAUGAGACAAUUUUCUAGCUGUCUUACAUAACCUCAUAUAAAAUGCUGAUGGGUACUCAGUUGAGCUCUGAUAUAUUCUGGAGGUGUUCUUUGUUUUGGGUACUGCAUGUUGUACUGCUUGUGUAACCCCUGUAUAAGCAUUAGCUGUCCCCUGUCAGUAUUUGGAUCUCAUUUAGGUUCUAUUUCAGACUUAAACUCUUCUGGACCUUUCCUUUCAUUUAUACUUCUG